AUAAGCAAAAUGCAUUGUUACCAUCAUUCCAGAGGUAUGUGAUGCUAUAUGGAAAACUUUAAAAGAUAUUCAUAUGCCAGUUCCAACUAGAGAACAUUGGGAGAAGAUGGUAAGCACUUUUUAUCAAAAGUUAGAAAAACCAAUAUCAAACACUUUAAAAAACUAUGAAACCAUAUCCUAUGAAAAAUACCAGUCCGGA